rnacentral:rRNA from 1 species
GAUGAACGCUGGCGGCGUGCCUAAUACAUGCAAGUCGAGCGAACAGACGAGGAGCUUGCUCCUCUGACGUUAGCGGCGGACGGGUGAGUAACACGUGGAUAACCUACCUAUAAGACUGGGAUAACUUCGGGAAACCGGAGCUAAUACCGGAUAAUAUAUUGAACCGCAUGGUUCAAUAGUGAAAGACGGUUUUGCUGUCACUUAUAGAUGGAUCCGCGCCGCAUUAGCUAGUUGGUAAGGUAAAGGGUUACCAAGGCAACGAGGCGUAGCCGACCUGCGAGGCUGAUCGGCCACACUGGAACGGAGCCACGGUCCAGACUCCUACGGGAGGCAGCAGUAGGGAAUCUUCCGCAAUGGGCGAAAGCCUGACGGAGCAACGCCGCGUGAGUGAUGAAGGUCUUCGGAUCGUAAAACUCUGUUAUUAGGGAAGAACAAAUGUGUAAGUAACUAUGCACGUCUUGACGGUACCUAAUCAGAAAGCCACGGCUAACUACGUG